UACGUAUACUGAAGGUAUACCGGAGAGUCAAUUAUUAUCAGGAUACAUUCAGUAUACGAAC
rnacentral:pre_miRNA from 1 species